CCUACGUGGAGCAGCAGUGAGGAAUAUUGGUCAAUGGGCGCGAGCCUGAACCAGCCAAGUAGCGUGAAGGAUGACUGCCCUACGGGUUGUAAACUUCUUUUAUAAAGGAAUAAAGUGAGGCACGUGUGCCUUUUUGUAUGUACUUUAUGAAUAAGGAUCGGCUAACUCCGUGCCAGCAGCCGCGGUAAUACGGAGGAUCCGAGCGUUAUCCGGAUUUAUUGGGUUUAAAGGGUGCGUAGAUGGGUUGUUAAGUCAGUUGUGAAAGUUUGCGGCUCAACCGUAAAAUUGCAAUUGAUACUGGCAGUCUUGAGUACAGUUGAGGUAGGCGGAAUUCGUGGUGUAGCGGUGAAAUGCUUAGAUAUCACGAAGAACUCCGAUUGCGAAGGCAGCUUACUAAACUGCCACUGACAUUGAUGCUCGAAAGUGUGGGUAUCAAACAGGAUUAGAUACCCCAGUAGUC
rnacentral:rRNA from 1 species